rnacentral:tRNA from 1 species
AAGGAUUUAAGUUAAGCUACAAACUCUCAACCUUCAAAGUUGGAAAUAGAUUUUGUCUAAGCCUUA